rnacentral:rRNA from 1 species
UAAUACCGGAUAGAUCAAAGAAACUGGAAUGUUCUCUGGUUAAAAACUCCGGUGCCCAAGGAUGGGUCUGCGGCCUAUCAGGUAGUAGUGGGUGUAACGUACCUACUAGCCUACGACGGGUAAGGGUUGUGAGAGCAAGAGCCCUGAGAUGGAUUCUGAGACAUGAAUCCAGGCCCUACGGGGUGCAGCAGGCGCGAAAACUUUACACUGCGGGAAACCGUGAUAAGGGGACCCCGAGUGCCAGCACCUAGUGCUGGCUGUCCAGCUGUCCAAAUAACAGUUGUUAGCAAGGGCCGGGCAAGACCGGUGCCAGCCGCCGCGGUAACACCGGCGGCCCGAGUGGUAGCCGUUAUUAUUGGGUUUAAAGGGUCCGUAGCCGGCCUAUUAAGUCUCUUGGGAAAUCUGGCGACUCAAUCGUCAGGCGUUC